rnacentral:rRNA from 1 species
AUACGGAGGAUGCGAGCGUUAUCCGGAUUUAUUGGGUUUAAAGGGAGCGUAGGUGGGAUAUUAAGUCAGCUGUGAAAGUUUGGGGCUCAACCUUAAAAUUGCAGUUGAUACUGGUUUCCUUGAGUACGGUACAGGUGGGCGGAAUUCGUGGUGUAGCGGUGAAAUGCUUAGAUAUCACGAAGAACUCCGAUCGCGAAGGCAGCUCACCGGGCCGGAACUGACACUGAUGCUCGAAAGUGCGGGUAUCAAACAGGAUUAGAUACCCUGGUAGUCCGCACAGUAAACGAUGAAUACUCGCUGGUUGCGAUACACGGUAAGCGGCCAAGCGAAAGCGUUAAGUAUUCCACCUGGGGAGUACGCCGGCAACGGUGAAACUCAAAUGAAUUGGCGGGG